rfam:Hordeum vulgare subsp. vulgare, WGS project CAJW01000000 data, contig: morex_contig_175442
UAAGUACUUCCUCCGUUCGGAAUUACUUAUCAUAAAAAUGGAUACAAAUGAAUGUAUUUAGAACUAAAAUACAUCUAGAUGCGUCCAUUCUUACUAUAAGUAUUUCCGGACGGAGGAGUAUAUA